rnacentral:lncRNA from 1 species
GCAAGUGAGAACAAAAUACUUUCACAGAAACAAAGAUGUUGAUGAGUGCACUGUGACGUUGGGGGCAGGUGAGAGGACGAUUCAGCCAACGGAUAAUGGCGUCACAGGAAAAAAAGGGCUUGUGAGCUUCUUAGAAUUGAUUCAAGCUUCUCACUCUUCUCUCUAAAACUGCCCAUCAUUUUAAAGUGACGUGACUGAGCUGGGGAAGGCAGAUGUGGAAGUUCACAAGUUCAUGAU